AUUGAACGCUGGCGGCAGGCCUAACACAUGCAAGUCGAGCGAGCGGCGGACGGGUGAGUAAUGUCUGGGAAACUGCCUGAUGGAGGGGGAUAACUACUGGAAAGGGUAGCUAAUACCGCAUACAAUCAGCUGGGCCCAGAUGGGAUUAGCUAGUGGGUGGGGUAACGGCUCACAUAGGCGACGAACCCUAGCUGGUCUGAUAGGAUGACCAGCCACACUGGAACUGAGACACGGUCCAGACUCCUACGUGAGGCAGCAGUGGGGAAUAUUGGACAAUGGGCGAAAGCCUGAUCCAGCCAUGCCGCGUGUAUGAAGAAGGCCUUCGGGUUGUAAAGUACUUUCAGUUGGGAGGCGAUAUCCGCAGAAUAGGCACGGGCGAACUCCGUGCCAGCAGCCGCGGUAAUAC
rnacentral:rRNA from 1 species